rnacentral:rRNA from 1 species
UGGGGAAUCUUGCGCAAUGGCCUAACGGCUGACGCAGCGACGCCGCGUGAGGGAUGAAGCUCUUCGGAGUGUAAACCUCUUUUGCCCGGGACGAACUUCCAGAUUUAUCUGGCUUGACGGUACCGGGUGAAUAAGCACCGGCUAACUCCGUGCCAGCAGCCGCGGUAAUACGGGGGGUGCGAGCGUUGUCCGGAAUCACUGGGCGUAAAGGGCGCGUAGGUGGUCUGAUAAGGGUGUGGUGAAAGCCCGGGGCUCAACCCCGGGUCGGCCGUGCCGACUGUUAGACUGGAGUGCUGUAGGGGCAGGCGGAAUUCCGGGUGUAGCGGUGGAAUGCGUAGAGAUCCGGAGGAAGACCGGUGGCGAAGGCGGCCUGCUGGGCAGUUACUGACACUGAUGCGCGACAGCGUGGGGAGCAAACAGG